rnacentral:rRNA from 1 species
AACGAACGCUGGCGGCAUGCCUAACACAUGCAAGUCGAACGAGAAGGUACCUUCGGGUACUGGACAGUGGCGCACGGGUGAGUAACGCGUGGGAACCUGCCCUGAGGUACGGGAUAACGGCUGGAAACGGCCGCUAAUACCGUAUGUCCCCUGCGGGGGAAAGAUUUAUCGCCUUGGGAGGGGCCCGCGUCCGAUUAGCUAGUUGGUGAGGUAAUGGCUCACCAAGGCGACGAUCGGUAGCUGGUCUGAGAGGAUGAUCAGCCACACUGGGACUGAGACACGGCCCAG